UUUUCAAUGCAGUCUGUGAUCCUGAUGUGCCUCAAUUCCAGGAUUGAGAGCCUCUGAUGUCAUUCCAGCUCCCUCAGUGGGCUAAACAAUCCAAAUAUUGGAUUUAAGGAGACAGAUGAGAAACUAAAGAAGUUAAACCAAAUCUACUAGUCGUGGAGCUUUUCAGACGAUAGCUCUCCCACCAGCACCCAGGGUCUUACUCUAUCGCCAAGGCUGGAGUGCAGUGGCAUGAUCACAGCUCACUGCAGCUUCGAACUCCUGGAAUUAAGCGAUCUUGUCACCUCAACCUCUGGAGUAGCUGGGACAACAGGCAUGCACCACCGUGCCCAGCUAAUUUUUUUAUUUUUUGUAGGGACAGGGCCUUGCUGUGUUACCCAAGCUGGUCUUGAACUCCUGGGCUCAAGCAAUUAUCUUUCCUCACCUCCCAAAAUAGUGGAAUUACACGUGUGAGCCACUGUGCCCGGCUACAACCAUUACUUUCUAUUUGGCUCCUGGACUGAUGGAAGCUAGGGCACUGCCAAGGGUAUCAGUGGUGAUCCUUACAUGAUAAUUUGGAGAGCCUGAAUUACAUUAAUGCUGUCAUUUAUGGUCUCUUCACUAUGCUAGGUUCUUUAUAUACCUAUAAUCUAUAAGGUUGGUAUUAUUAUCCCUAUUUCAUAGAGAAGGAUACUGAAAUUUAGAGAAGUUAAGAAGUGUGCCCAAGUGGUAGAAUUGGGGUUGAAAGCAGGCUAUCUACCGCCACAGCCUGAGCUUUUCACCAUUAGGACAUACUGCUUGAUACUGUGAAAGUAUCCAGUAUGUGCUUUGCUUUGUUCUCUCUCUUUUUUUUUUUUUUAAAGGUUCGACAUGCACAGACUACAACCCUAAACCUGGCCAGUUUUUUGUCAAUGCGUGACAUUUGGGCAUGGGGGUGGGUAGGGGCAGACAGUACAACAGAGAGUUCAAAUGGAUUGGCUUUAUUUCCAAAACCAGUCCUUGGGGAAAGAUUUCAAGGCACGUCCUACUGAAAGUCAGCAUGCAGAGAUUGUCAUUCCUAGAACAGGGCUGACCCAAAGAACAACAGUGCUACAAGCAAUCUUCACACCAACCCUAUGACGUAGGCAUCAUUAUCCCCCAUUUUACAGAUGAAGAAACUGAGGUUAAGCAAUUUGUCCACACUACUGCUGGUGAAUGACCGAGCCAAGACUUGCACAUACUGGUUCCCUUCCCUGCAUUCCUUUUUAACCAUACUCCACUCUUGCCUUGGGGGACCAAGAUCCGUGAUGGACAUGUUAUUAUAUUAACAAGAAAACAGACUCUUGAAUUUGGACCUCUGAUGAUAGUGACACAGCACAUGCACUAGGGUGUUGGAGACAAGAGAAAAGCCAGGCCCUGCAAACAAGCUUCCAGGUGUUUGCUAACGUUGAGGUGUGCAGUCUUGGUCAAUCAUCAAUCCAGUAACACACUGCCCAGUUAAAGCACUGCUGAGCAGAACAGGAAGCAAAAAGCGUGUCCACAGGCUGCAUUUAGAGCGGCCCUGGCCUGGGUGAGGCAGCUUGCCUCUUAGAAGGAGGAGAGGCAGAGCUCAGUAGGAAACCCCAAGGACCUUCAAGCAGUAAGAGCUGAGACCUGGAAGGUUCUUCCACACUGAGAAGUCAAGACCUCUUCCGUAAGGCACCCUUCUCCAUGGAAGCCUGGGUAAUCCUUAACCCUAACUUGUUUGGGACACUCUUGAGAAGUCAGAAAGACUUGUCUGUGCCUCUCACAGGUAACUGACACAAGUGGUUCUUCACAUGGAGAAGAAUCUUUCUUAAGGGAUAGGUGGGAGUAGGAGAAGAGGGCUGCAAAAUGCCUCCCCCAGGAAUGCCCUUUCAUUUUUGUUUGCAGAGACCACGACCAGGGCAAGCAGCUCAGGUCCUCUGAAACCAGAAUUGGCCGGGUCAGUGCUCCCCUCAGAAACCACACUUGUUUUUCCUCCAGGGAGCCAGGGACUCGAUCACCUGUGACUCACCGUUUCUGUGUUGCCUACACAGCACACACGUCAAGAUCUAAAAUGGCCUCUGCACCCUGUUGCCCUCACCCAUCCUGGCCCCCACUCUGGGAAUGUGUGCAGCUCCACCUUCAGCAUGAAAGUCGGGAAUCUGCGGCUCCUCCCUCCCCUGAAAAACAGAGCAUGACCCAAAGAAUAGAGCUUUCCAUUCUCUACCCUUGCCAGUGUCGUAAUGCUCCUGUUCUCCCAUAAGCCACUCUCUCCUGCACUUGUGUUGCUACAGGAUCAGAACCUAAUCCUAAUUAGAACCUAGUUUUAUUUAUUUUAUUGUUAUUAUUAAUUAUUAUUUUUUGAGACACCCGAGUCUCACUCUGUUGCCCAGGCUGGAGUGCAGUGGUGUGAGCUCACUGCAACCUCUGCCUCCCAGGCUCAAGUGAGCUCCCCACCUCAGCCUCCCGAGUAGCUGGGAUUACAGGUGCAUGCCACCAUUCCUGGCUAAUUUUUGUAUUUUUUUUUUAAUAGAGAUGGUGUUUCGCCCUGUUGUCCAGGCUGGUCUCAAACUUUCUGGCCUCAAGUGAUCCACCUGCCUCAGUCUCCCCAAGUGCUGGAAUUACAGGUAUGAGCCACUGCACCUGGCCUAGAAUCUAGUUUGAUGUAGAAAAUUCAAAUUCAAAUUGUGCAUUCUUCACCAAGUGUGCUAAACUUGCAUCUGGGUGUGGGGCUGUGGUUACGGAUAUAGAAAACUUCAUUUAAUGAGAAUGAUAUUGACAUUUACACGACAACAACAACAAUACUGCAAUUUAUUGACUAUUUUCUAUGGCAAACACUGCAGAGUAUUUCUCAAAUGUUAUCACGCUCAUGCCCCCACCAAGUCUAUUGUUACCGCCCCCAUUUUAUAGAUGAGGAAGAGAUCAUAAGUAGUCGAGUAACCUGCUCAGGCUACACAGCUAUUAAGAGCUGGAGCUGGGAUUUGAACCUGGGCAAUUGUAACUUCAAAGUUGGUGUUUCUCCCUCCCUAAGCAUCGCCCCACCCCAUCUACCAUUUGUGCUGUGAUCUUCGCUGUCAUGGUGUCCCAUGUCUUUCACUGUUCCAGUUCAAGAAGCUUCUCCCCAUCGCCUCCUAUCCACUACAUCCUGACUUGCUAAUGACUCUUCUUGUCAGUACCAAGGGGAUGGUAAGGAGGAAGAGGGGGCUUGUGUCAAAGUGAGGUGCUCUCUAAGUUAAAAAAUUGGCUUUGGAGGCCUUGGGGGGAGGGAUGAAUGAACAUUUUAUCAACACAAAUGUCAUUGGCAAGCCCCAAAACAAACAGUGUCCCACCGGGCUUGCUCCUUUAUGAGGCAUUCAAUCAAUAAAAAGAGAGCAGAACUCUGUCAGAUUUAUUGGCUGGGUUCAAACCGAACACCUCUUCUACCCGCCAAAGGCUGGGUCACCAGCACUACCUCUCCUUUCCGACUCUGGACAGCCCUCAUUUUCCCCUAUGGGGCUACAAUGGUUCAUUGUUUGAGGCAGGCCUUGUGAGAAGUUGUGUUUGUUUUGCCUCUUAUCUUAUCAGCUCCAGAGCGACAAUGGCCCAGGUGUACUCACCAUUUUA